UUGAGGAAACGAUCAUGCGCAAGGAGGGGUGGUUGUGCGUCUGCUGCUACUGCUGCUGGUGGUGGAGGGGGGGGGGGGGACACACUGUCCGAGCUGUUGCACAAGAAGAUUUGCCCACUCACCCUUCUUAAAGGAUAUUGUGGAUGCACGGGGGAAGUUUGGACUCUCCUGCAGAGAGCCAGACCACCAGACAGCAGUGGCUGAUACCCCCACCCCACUCUCCAUCCACACCCCCCUCCCUUCUUGAAGCGACUGUGGAUGCUGCUGCAUGGAGGUGACAGCAACCCGCCGACGGAGCAACCGGGCAGCGUCACCUUCACCCGACGAGACGGAUCUUCAAAGAGGUCAUUCUGUGGAAUACCAGCUGAAAAGGCCAGAAAAGAUUGAUGGAUUUUGGCAAUUAAAGGUGAUGGAUGGUGCCCGACCAAAAUGCACACAAGCCCGUGUAGCGAUCGUUUCAUUUCAGGGUCACGGGGAGCGCCGAAGCCUAUCGCAGCUAUCAACGGGCAGGAGGCGGGGUACACCCUGAACUGGUCGCCAGCCGAUCGCAGGGCACAUGGAGACAAACAGCCGCACUCACAAUCACACCUAGGGGCAAUUUAGUGUCCAAUGAAUGUCACAGGUUUUUGGGAUGUGGGAGGAAACCGGAGAUCCCGGAGAAAAGCCACACAGGCACGGGGAGAACAUGCAAACGCCACACAGGCGAGAAAGAGAACCACGACGUGAGAAAAGGAAAGUUUGUUGGAUAUUGGAAGCGAAGUGGUCUCACGGUGUAAUUCAAUUUGAUUUUGUUCUGUUUCAUAUUUUGUGAUGUUUACCUGGGUCCCACGUUCAGGUCUUGCCUUCUCCUUUGGUUUUGGUCCCCGGGCGCUCUCGUCGGCUCCGUUCCUCACGUCAACCAAUCAGCUCCCUCCGGCCACUCGCGUCUUUGUCCACGUGUGCCUCGUUGUUCCGUCCAUUUCUUUGUAUUUCAUUUCCUGCUUUCUUUCAGUCCAUUUUUUUGGGGGGGUUCCUCAUUAUUUUUGCUGUCAUGGGAGUUUUUUUGUUUCCCAGUGUAACUUUGAAACUUGUUUUUGGGGAACUUGUUAAUUUAGUAUUGCUAUUAUUGCACAUGCCUUGUUUGUCCAUUUUUGUUUUUGAAAAUACUAAAUAUAGAAGAAAACACAGCCGACUCUGUUCUUUAAUCCGACCCGCUGUGUAAUGACGUCGGCCAGAGUCCCUCCAUAUUUACUGCAUUAAUUGAGAUAUUUCAUAAAAUUGGUCAAUUAAAAAGAAAUCUUUUAAAAAGUAGUCUUUGUUUUCAUUUGCCUCAUGAAAUUGAUUUCAUGUCAUUGAUGUAAUAAAAUAGCGCUU